AAGAACAACUCGAGGUGGAAGUGUUUCUCCAUUAGAAUAGUCAACCACAGAAGGUCCAGUUAACCAGUGGCAGCUUCACGUUAUUUGUCCCUUAGAUCGCUUAUACAAAAAAUCUGGUAAUCAUGGCCGUGGACGAUGAGAGGAAACGUAUCGAGGAUGAAAGAAAAAGAAAACAAGCAGAGACAGACCGAAAAAGAGCCGAAGUUCGUGCUCGUCUCGAGGAAGCAUCCAAAGCUAAAAAGGCUAAGAAGGGUUUCAUGACCCCAGAGCGUAAGAAAAAACUCAGGUUGUUAUUGCGUAAAAAAGCAGCAGAAGAACUUAAGAAAGAACAAGAAAGGAAAGCUGCCGAACGACGACGCAUUAUAGAACAACGUUGCGGUAAACCUAGACCUAUCGAAGACGCCAAUGAAGAAACUUUGAAACGUGUUUUACGAGAAUAUCACACAAGGAUCUGUGAACUGGAGGACAAGAAAUUUGACAUCGAGUAUAUUGUCAAGAAGAAAGAUUUCGAGAUCUCUGAUUUGAACAGCCAAGUUAAUGAUCUCCGAGGAAAAUUCAUGAAGCCGACCUUAAAAAAAGUAUCCAAGUAUGAAAGCAAAUUUGCUAAACUACAAAAGAAAGCAGCUGAAUUCAACUUCCGCAAUCAACUAAAGCAAGUGAAGAAAAAAGAAUUCACCUUAGAAGAAGAAGAUAAAGAGCCCAAGAAGUCCGAGAAAGCUGAAUGGCAGACCAAGAAGUAGCCGGAUGUCACAUGAGAAAGGAGACUUGAUAAUUAAUUAAUUAUUUAAUAAUAAAUAAGUCAAAAAAUAUUUUAAACAUAUUUACCAUCGCGUUAAAAUUUUUUUAUCUUACAAAUCACGGUCGUUCAAACACCCGUUCAUUUAAAAAUUCAUUUAUAAAUAUUUUUUUCAGAUCAAGAUAUAAUUGGCAUGCUAUGUAUUUUAAAUUUAUUUAACACUUCUUUCAUUGUCAACACUUGAGAAAAAAAAAAAAAGUUAAGCUUACACUGUCAAUUCUCCACUGUAAAUAUAUUUCUUCGCUACCAACUAUUGUAUUCUCACAUUUUUUCCGAACCUCUCAAUUUAAAAUUCUAUAAAUAUCUAAAUCUGACACUAAAUCUAAAUCUACUAUUUUAUUUUCCAACUUUAAAUUCUUAAUUUAACAGCAACAUAAAAAAUAAAAAACUUUAAACCUUUACCUAAGGAGAAACCUGAGUGGGUGGAGAAGAGAAUAAAAGAAGAUGAAGUCGAAGCAUAAACUUGUUCAACAAAAAAUUCAUAUAAAUUUUGUCAUCAUCUUUAUCUGAGCAGUGAUGACGGAUAACCACAAAAAAUUAUUUUGUCGAUCACAAAUAUAUUUUUUCGUCGAUGUCAAUUAAAAAAUAUAUUAUUUAUUUAUAUAAAAUAUACUAUAACCAUAAUAUGUAACCUUAAUUAUACACAAUAAUAAAUAAUUAUUUAAAAUA